rnacentral:rRNA from 1 species
GAAAUAGAACCUGAAACCGUGUGCUUACAAGUAGUCAGAGCCCGUUAAUGGGUGAUGGCGUGCCUUUUGUAGAAUGAACCGGCGAGUUACGAUUUGAUGCAAGGUUAAGCAGUAAAUGUGGAGCCGUAGCGAAAGCGAGUCUGAAUAGGGCGUUUAGUAUUUGGUCGUAGACCCGAAACCAGGUGAUCUACCCUUGGUCAGGUUGAAGUUCAGGUAACACUGAAUGGAGGACCGAACCGACUUACGUUGAAAAGUGAGCGGAUGAACUGAGGGUAGCGGAGAAAUUCCAAUCGAACCUGGAGAUAGCUGGUUCUCUCCGAAAUAGCUUUAGGGCUAGCCUCAAGUGAUGAUUAUUGGAGGUAGAGCACUGUUUGGACGAGGGGCCCCUC